rnacentral:rRNA from 1 species
AUUGAACGCUGGCGGCAUGCCUUACACAUGCAAGUCGAACGGCAGCACGGGAGCAAUCCUGGUGGCGAGUGGCGAACGGGUGAGUAAUAUAUCGGAACGUGCCCAGUCGUGGGGGAUAACGCAGCGAAAGCUGUGCUAAUACCGCAUACGAUCUAUGGAUGAAAGCGGGGGACUCGCAAGGGCCUCGCGCGAUUGGAGCGGCUGAUAUCAGAUUAGGUAGUCGGUGGGGUAAAGGCCUACCAAGCCUGCGAUCUGUAGCUGGUCUGAGAGGACGACCGGCCACACUGGAACUGAGACACGGUCCAGACUCCUACGGGAGGCAGCAGUGGGGAAUUUUGGACAAUGGGCGCAAGCCUGAUCCAGCAAUGCCGCGUGCAGGAUGAAGGCCUUCGGGUUGUAAACUGCUUUUGUACGGAACGUAAAGGCUCUGGUGAAUACCUGGAGUUGAUGACGGUACCGUAAGAAUAAGCACCGGCUAACUACGUGCCAGCCGCCGCCGUAA